CUAGUACGAAAAACUUUCGAGUUCGUUUCGUUUGCGUAUUCAAAGUGCCAUCGAAAAAUUUUGUAUGAAAAAUUAAACAGCGCCCCCUAUAGGUCAUAAAAAGAAAAAAACACCUAACUUUCGAUUUUCUUUCGUAUCGAGUUCAAAUACUAGGCGUGACGAAAGAUGGAUUUUGUAUGAAAUAACGUAGUACGAACCUAAUUUUGACAAUCAACGGUCGUUUCGUUGUCGUUGAAAUCAUCGAAUGUUGUGUCACUGUCAAUUUUGUUGUGAGAAGAUUACGUUGAUAUAAAUUUUACGUGUUUUUGAGGCUUAAAUGUGGAGAUUAUGUGGUCGGCGAAUUUAUUUCCUUGUUUGGCAUCAUUUAGAUUGUUUAGAUGCUUUAAGUUAAGAGAUUAGGAAGCAUCCCAACAGCAGGUAUUUGACCACAAUCGCACAUGAUGUUAAGAGGGAUGCAGUCUAGGAUGGUACAUAUCUGCCCUGUAAGAUACCUACUUAUGUGACAAAUUGCCGGAAAGAUAGUCUUAUGGCAACAAAAAGAGUGUCCUUGGAACACAAGGUUAUAUUAUGUGCUAUGCAUUAAGAUGCAUCCAGUUCAUACCAAGGCACUGAUGGUAUGAAGAAGCAUUUGGAAUUACUUAACCAAUGCUCUCAAUACCCCCAACAUACUCGGAGAAGUAGGUAGGUACUCAUGCCUACAUAAGAUUUAUCCAUGAACUAUUUUAUACAAAUGUCAUAUGCAUUCAGUUCUUAAGAUCAUACAGAACAAAACACAACAGGGUGAUUCCAUACCUUUGCUCGUAAGUGUUUUAGCCAGAAAGUUUUAGAUCUUAAUAAACUUAUUUACCUAAACUAAUAACUAUAAAAUUAAUGUUAUAGUAUUCUACUCAUCAACAUUUAUUAAUCAUUACAGGUACCUACCCUACCCAAACCUUACAAAGAUCCAGCUCCGGCACAGAAUAAGUAAUAGGACUAAGGUUCCUAGGCACACUUAAGAAAUACCAUCAACACUUGCGGGCAAAUAGACAUUAAUGGGAUUAAAACAAAAUAUAUGUGUGACAAUUUAUUUAAUAAAUACUUAUAAAACAUUAAACAAUAUUUUGAAUUUCAAUUAAAACAUAGGUACCUAACAGUUUUAAUUUUCUAUUAAUAGGUAUGAUACAUGAUUGGUAAUAAUCAAAAUUGUUAUUCAAAUUGCUGAGAGUUUCAAUGGCUGGCUGCUCAUGGUUUCAUAUAUUAUCAUCUGGCUACUCGGGUUUCCUCUGUAAAAGAAAAAGUAAUGUUAACUAAAUACUAAUUUAACUUGC